UACGUAGGCAGCAAGCGUUGUUCGGAUUUACUGGGCGUAAAGGGUGCGUAGGUGGCUCUAUAAGUAUGGUGUGAAAUCUCCCGGCUUAACUGGGAGGGUGCGCCGUAGACUGUGGGGCUAGAGUGUGGGAGAGGAAAGUGGAAUUCCUGGUGUAGCGGUGAAAUGCGUAGAUAUCAGGAGGAACACCGGUGGUGUAAACGGCUUUCUGGACCAUAACUGACACUGAGGCACGAAAGCGUGGGUAGCAAACAGG
rnacentral:rRNA from 1 species